rnacentral:rRNA from 1 species
UACGUAGGGUGCGAGCGUUGUCCGGAAUUAUUGGGCGUAAAGAGCUUGUAGGCGGUUUGUCGCGUCGACUGUGAAAACCCGAGGCUCAACCUCGGGCCUGCAGUCGAUACGGGCAGGCUAGAGUUCGGUAGGGGAGACUGGAAUUUCGUGUGUAGGGGUGAAAUCCGUAAAUAUACGAAGGAACGCCAAAAGCGAAGGCAGCUCUCUGGGUCCCUACCGACGCUGGGGUGCGAAAGCAUGGGGAGCGAACAGG